rnacentral:piRNA from 1 species
UUGGGACCUAAAAGAGCUAGCAGAAUU